GCUCCUAUGGCGCAGUUGGUAGCGCAUGUGACUUUUACGCACAAAUUUACAUCUCCAAGUACGGGGUCAUCAUAGGGUCGCGGGUUCGAGUCCCGCUGGGAGCU
rfam:Salpingoeca sp. ATCC 50818 unplaced genomic scaffold supercont1.5, whole genome shotgun sequence.